GGUAGCCAGGCAGAAGCUGGAGGGAGAAGAUGGAUUAGGAGGCGCCUCUCUUCCCUCCCCGCGUCAAAGGUAAAUAAAGAGCCGGCCCCGCCCCGCCGGCCCCCGCUGACAGGUGCAGGCGGGUCCCCGGCCGCCGAGGCAGGGCCGGCCCCACCCUCCCGGGCCGCGGGCUCCCGACCCCUCCCAGCGCCUCGAAGCCCCCAUCUCCUCCCCGCGUCCCCCAGCCCCUUCCCUCCACCCGGCCCUGGCCCUGUCCCUCCGGGCGUGGAACCCGGGCUCAUCCCGCCCCCGCCCCAGAGGGAAAACGCACGUGAACAAAGCGAAUCGGAGGAGGCAGGAACGACAGUAAAAGGAACGUGAUUGGACACAGCUUUGGGCUCUGUUGUUUCGAGUGCGCUAUUUUGUCCAUCCAAACAGAAGAUUAUGAAUGGAGAGCUACAUCCCAUGGGGUGGCAGAUGAAGAUGUGCAAGAAGAAGACACUAACAACUGAAUUGCAGAUUGAGGAGAUGAGAUUAUGGUGACAGAAUCCAUCUUCGGUGUAUGUGCAUGAAGAAAUAAGCCAAAUCUACAUCUAUAAAACCGCGGGAAGGAAUGAGAUAAUAAUCAGUUGCAGGUCUGCUUAGAUUUUAAUCGUUUAGUGUAGUUCGUGGCAGGGUCUGAUACCCUAUUUCAAUAGUGGAGAGAAUUAGAAAGCAUUUUCUUUUUUCAUAUCUACUAUUAUUGGUUAUAUAAAAGAAGUAUCAAAUAGUUUCUGCUUUCAUGGAAUAUACUGUCCAGUCGCAAA